GAGGAUAGUAGAGUUGAUCCCUUGAACUAAAAGUAAUCAUCAAAUGUAUUAUAAUCUAAUAUGUAUCUCGUUCUGAAACUUGCUCAAAGUCUGUACACCUUGCUAAGCCCUUCGUUUACAGGAUAGCAAACAAGUGCAUUUUUAUCAAUAACAUGGAAUACCAUGUUUCUACAUAAAAACUGCUGAGUAUGGUAAGCAUUUGAUAUGUCAUUACAGUAUGAUCUUUCGGUUCUUUUCAUUUUGUAUGACUGGGAUUUACCAAGAAGUUUUGACAGAGUUUCAGUGAGUUCUUUUCCUCCAUUUGACACUUCUUAUAUUGUUGGUUCAAAAUUACAUUAACAGCAAUACAUCUAACAUUCAUCAUAUACAAUGCCUGACAACAAAGUAUACAUGCUGUCAUCUCUGCUUUUUAGUGGCUAAAAGAAAUAGAAGAAAAACAAAUUCUUCAGAUAAGCUGUAAACACAAAAACUUCCUAAAUCUACAGCAUUGCGUCUCAGUAAGGUCAACACAGUUCUUCAUCAACAUACGAAAGAUUAAAAUGCUCUCAGAAGACACACAUGCAUGUGUUUAAGUAUAAACACCUUCACCUCUACAUGCCACCACACACACUCAUGUCUGGUUUUUCUUUUAAGUAUUUAGUACUUGUUUGCAAUGUCAGGCCAUAAUUUGCUAGCAUGGUAUUUACUGUGUGCAAGUGUUUGAGUGUCUGUGUCAUUUCAUUGAAAUCUUCCUUUCAUAAAUGCUAAAUUUCUGGUAUACAUUGGCUGUAGCAAUAUGUAGUGUGCACUGAUUGAAUUGUAUUCCUUCUGUUCCCCAGAGAGCUCCAUAUGUCUCAGUUUCUGUAUGUAUAAGUCUCUAAAACAUUUUGACAUUCUCUGCAGGAAGGACACUUUCUAAAUGUUUGUUAUACAAUCCCAUUCCUGAAUCCACUUUCAAAUAUGUUUCUUCUGAACAUAACCUUGCUGGAAUGCUUGACUUUGUACAGGCCAAUGCAAAACUGAUUAUAUACAUGUAAAAUGUGUCUGCAUGUAUAAUAUAACAAGAAGGAACUAGAUAGAAUUUAAUAAUAGUAAUAGAAAUAGAAAAAGAAUUGUAUGUGUUUUAAAAUUUGUCAAACACUAACCACUAUUAGUGUUACAGAAUACAUGCCAUUUUAUAUUUAUUGACAGUGUUUAACAAGAGGUAAGUAAACAUAUGGAUCUGGAUUACAUUUCUGCAGAAAAAAAAGAGGUCGCAAAAGGAGGAAAGAUGAAUUAGAAAUACCUUGAUGCCUUAAUUUUCUCAACAAUUUAUCAGAAUAUGGGUUUUUCUGCAUUUGUUAAGGUUGUGAAGUUUUGUCCAUUGUUAGGAAUCUACAGAAGACCAAAGCUGUUGUCCUCAAGGGCUUAUGCCUCUGUUGUAGAUUUGUAGGACUAGUUCUUUGAAGUAGUUGGAAUUUUCUUGUCCACCAUGGUGGGGGCAAGCCUCAGGAUUCAUUUCAUACCUCUUCAAAAGUGAUGCUUUGAAAAAGCCAGUCCUUUUUUUAUAUUUGCCAUCAUAAACAGUGAUUCGGUAUAAUGACUAUCAUAACCUGCUUACAGACCUAGCACCACUAAAAGGUCACCUUAAAUGCCCCACUAUUUGUUCUGCUUUCUGGUUUGUCCAGAUAUGGUAUGCUGUGCCCCUUCUUCCUUCAUUUUCCACAUAUCUGCAAGGCUGUUUUGAGACAAUAGCAAACUUGAAUUCAAAUUUCUGAUUUAAAAUUGGUCUAAGUCAUUGAAACCAGGUGACAGGUGAAUGAAGGUCUCUGUCUUUCCAGAUGCAGGGGGCUGUGAUUUUAGCAAACAUCUUUCUGAUGGGCAGAAAAAUAUACGUUGCUAUUGGAAAUGCGAGUAGUUCUUUAUGUUGAGUAGCUUAUUAUCAAAAGGCAAGUAACUUUCCCUAAUAUGUAGUGACUACAAUAUUUUUUUAGCUCCUCUUUCUGCUCCCUGAAAUCUAUAUAUAUAAAUAAAAGAUUCUAAAGUGCUCUGUGGUUUCAAAAUCUCCUUUUUUUUUCUUUUCUUUUUUCUUUUAGGAGAAUAAUAAAAAUAACUCUACAGUCAGUCAGCAUUAAGAAAUCAUGAAUAAUAAGUUUCUCACUGUAAAAUGAAAUAAACCAUAUGUGAUUAUAAAGAAACAAAGAGAACUGAGCUGCUUGGGUGAUUUAAGUGGAUUAUGGAAAAGCCUUGUGAAGACUUUCCUGAAAAGCCAAAAAAAAGUCUAUAUUCACCUCCAAGCAUUUUUUAAGUUAGCCUCCUUCAUGUGGGAAAAACCUAACCCAAUUGACCACUGAAAUACUAGCUACUCUUUUAUGGAAUACCAACUUCAAAAGCAGCACUUAUAUUUCUGCAUCUUCAGUUGUUAAUAGUUAAGCUUUAUGUUAGAGAUAAAACUAGUGGAGGAAGAAAGUAUUUUAUUUGUCCACCUCUCUUAGCAUAUUUAAUCAUAGUAUUGUAAAAAGUGAUGAUACCAACUUCCUAAUACUUAUGGUAUUAGGCAAAAAGGUCAAAUGAAUAAUGGGAGAAAACUAAGGGAUUUUUAAAAAUAUGGUCAGCUUAAGGUUUUGCAUUUUGUUCUGCUAUAGUGAUCUAAUAAGGUCUUACAUGAAUAAUGAAUUAGAAAUACUAGAAUUCAGAUGUUAAGAAAACUCAUUUGGAAAUUUUCUUCAGACUGAAAAAACAAUGGGAAAAGGCUGAUAUUAACAGUUAACCACAGAAAAGGACUGAAUACAGGGAGAAAGUGUGUAUGAAUAAGCUGAGUACUGAGUUAACUUAUGCUGGUUUAGAGUUGAUUACUUUGGUCUAUGUAUCCUGCAGGAAGGGACGGGAAAAAAGCCAAUGACAACUUAGCUAAACCAGAAAUUUUUUUGAGUUCAUAUUAAGAAAUGUGUGUUUGUGUUGCUGAGCAUUAUACCACAACAAAACAGAAUAUUCAGAAGCAUAUUAGAAGAGUUAUGAAAUAAUUAUGAGCAUAGCUGAGAUUUUACCAGGCCCAUUUAGGCAUUCUCCUCCAGACUGAGAAACUGUUGUUAGAGGAAGCAAUUGAAUUUUUUUUAUAUGGCUAGCCUCAAUUUUUGAUAAAUAAACACAAAAUUUUUGUCACAUUACCUUCUUUAAAUGAUUAGAAAAGUGUUUCAAAAAAGGGGAAAAUCCAUUUUUUUCUUUUACAUUUGAAAUACUCUUUCUUCUUCCAGUGUCUUUCUAACAUAAUUAUUUUAAUUCAAAAAGCUCUCCUGGUUGUGUUUCCUUUCUUUUCCUUCAAUAUAGGAAAAUGUCUACUUAAAACAAAGAAAUUUUCCCAUCAGUUGGGAAAAUAUAGCAGUCUUGUGUAUAAAACUGACAAUGACAUUUAAAAAAUGCUAUGAGUUCGUGUUAAACAAAGGAGUCCUUUACAAAGACUGGGUAUUUUGUAGUCAGGUAAGAGCUGAGGAGAAAUAAUUUAAUAUUUCUUUUAGUUAUGGGGUGUAUUCCACACCAGAGGUCUCUCUGUGGAUAGGGGCUUUCUAAGGGCUGAUCCAGAUGCCAGGCUUUACUUGUAUUUUUAAGAACAUUAUAUUGCCCAUUAUCUUUAUAAGAGAGGCAGACUUUGCAUAUCAGCACCAGAAGCUACAUGUAAACUGUAUGAAAGUGCAUGUUGCAAUGCCUCCUGCAGUCCCAGUUCCCCAGGCAUCGACCCUCGGACUAGCUUGGACAAUAUCAUGGCUCCUAGGCAGCCCAUAAACCUGUGUCUUUCCUGCAGAAACUAGACCACAAGAACAAGGUAAAGUGCUGUAUCCCAGGUCUCAUCUUGAGAUCCUGGAGAUGCAGCAUGACUAAAGAUGUGUAUUCUUGCUCCUGGCAGUGGGAAAGUGGCUCUGGGCUGAUAUUUUUGAAGAUGUAGAGAAAUACACAUUUGUAUUUUUCAUAAGAGAAAGUAUAGUGUGGAAUAGACUAUUUCAGUUGAAAGGAACCUACAGUGAUCAUCUAAUCCAACUACCUGACCAAUUCAGGGCUAACCAAAUUAAAGCAUGUCAAUAGGGGCAUUGUCCGAAUGCCUCUUCAACAACUGAUAAGCUUGGGGUAUUGACCACCUCUCUAGGAAGCCUGUUCCAAUGUUUGACCAUCCUUUCAGUAAGGAAAAGCUUCCUUAUAUUCAAUGUAAACCUUCCCUGGUGCAGCUUUGAACCACUGUGCAGUAAUGAAAUAGUACCUUGUCUUCAAGCUUUUAGCUUGAUUUGGUAGAACUGCCUGUGGAACGAGGCAUAGUUUUAACACUAAGCACUAAGUUCUGAUUAAAAUAUAUGGAGUGGAAUUUACUGGACUUUGCUUGGGUUAGGACUCUAGAGUGAGAUAACUAGCCCAAGGUCUUGACUGUCUUUUUAGUAUUGAGAAUUGUUCAAUUCCAGAAGCCAAUUAAUUUUGUUCUAAGAUAAUUCAGAUGAAUUGUCUUCUGGAGGUGCUUAUGUCUCUCAAGUAACCUAGAAGAAAGCUACGAUGACUAGAUUAGCCCCUGACAUUUAGAUACUUAAUGCUGAAUAGGAAGCAGCUGGCUUAAAGAAUUUACUCUCUUUGGUGUGGUCCUCAGUAGGAAGAUGAUCAUAAAAAUCCCUUCAUUCUUUGUCAAUUUGGGAAGCUUUGGAUUUUGACCACUAUCAAGUGCAAUAUAAUAUUUUCAAAGUUUCAAGAAUGUUCAUAUUCUGAUGAUACACAGCUGUGAGCUAAACUGGCGAAUCAUACUAUGAUGAGCAGCAUGUCCAGUAUAUACUAUUCAGUAAAAACUGGCAACAGUGCAUGUUCUUUUAGCACUGACUUGUUGGUAUAAUACAAACACUAAUACUAAUAUUAUAAAUUAACAACAAAGAAAAAGUCAGAUACAUAGCAGGUAUUGAUUAUUAACCUCUGAAAAUCUCUAGAAAGUGAAAGUGAGCAGUGUUUUCCUGUAGACAAGUGAAAGAAGUAUUUUCAGCUGGGUCACAAAGGGCAGCUUUUGGAAAUGAGCAGCUAGCUACUGGAAUAGCUGAGCACCCACACUUUUAAAAUGGGCUGAAGGAACUGCAAUUGUCACUCUGAAAACUAGCUGAUAUUUUUAACAUGUGGAGAAAAGCGCACAGAACAGAAAGAAAUCAAUAUCUAAUAUAUUACUAUGUAACUAUAUGGUAAACCAAUAUUAGCAAUAGAGUACUGCACUAAAAUAAAAUAAAUAUUACAAGGGCAGAGAGAAAUAAAAGAGAAAUAUUACAGAGCCAAAAAUAAAUCCAUAUUGAAUAUAUUUAUCCACAUGCCAAAUCCAAAUCUGCUUUCCAAAUCAAUACUGGAGAUAGAUGACUAGUGUGAAAUGAACAGAAAUAUUGCCAGCAUGGUGAGAAACCCAUACUGAGAGUGUUUAUCUACAUUCAAAAACAAUAUUGGAGAAAGCCUGAAGUCAGUUAUUUGUAAUAUUCUAAUUUAUUUAAUUUUACAUUAUGGCUUCCAGAGUUUAAAAGAAAGUAAAAAUUGAAUAUCAUCCUUGGAAGAAGAGAAAGUAUACCAUCCAAGCACACCAACUGGCUGCACAUGAAGCCAAAUUGUGUUCAGUAUGUUCAUCCCACUGCUCCCAAUCAGUGUAAUUUCAUUGCUAUCUAUAAAUACUGCUUACAUUUUUACCCUAUCUCUUCUUUCUCUCUUGGAGAUGCUGGGUUGUUUCUAAAUUAAUUACAGCUGGUGAUAGAAUUUUAUUUAUAUUUCAAUUUAUAAAAUAUGCUGUUCAUAACCCUUUCAGCAUAAGGAAUAAAAGGACCUCUGUUAGGUACCUUUACAUAGUAAUGCUUUUCAUUGGGCUUCUCAGAUUCCCAAUAUCAAAAGGCAGCAUUAAGUGGUGACUCAACUACCACCAGUGCUGUCAUAACUGAUGCUUGAGAAAGACAGUGUAAUACAAAAGAGCUAAAGUAUGUCCCUAGGUAUGAGAAGAAACUGGCAUUUUUCUUGUAACUGAGCCUGACCUAGUGUUGGCAAUGCAGCGAUGUUAGUUGUUGAUCUGUACUUCUCCAGAUGAGGAACACAUGCAUAGGCUCUUUAAGCAGAAGCAGAGGGGAAGAAAAUGGAACAAGUAUUAAUUUUUUUCUGCCAAAGAUGAAAAGAAAUAUCACCAUUGUAGUAGCUUCUUCCCUCAUAUCUGUUCUUCUUCCUCCUCCAGGCUUUUCAGAAAAAGCAGUAGUAAUGAUAUGUAAUUGGAGAAAAACAGAAAUUCAUCAUACAAAUGUCAUGUAUAGGUUGUUUCUGAUAGGCUGGAUGUAUGGUAGUUGUGGUCAGUUAGUGCUAAUAAGGCAGCAUAUGACGUUUUACAGUGUAAAACUGCUAGUAACUUAUAUCACAUGAAACAAUUUGCCUUUUGUUUUAACUGCUGUGAAAUGUGAAAUACUUACAGGAUGAAUCAAUGAUCUGCCAUGUGUUAGGUACAGGAAGUACUUUCCCUAAUAUUAUUUAAGGGGGUGUAUAUUUCAAUGAAGAAACCACCUCACUGUAAAACUGCUCUGUUUCACUGUCUCACUUCACAGCCUCUGUCUAUAGACUCCUCACCUCCUAUCUUAAUUUCAGAUGAAGACUUAUAGGAGUAAUGCACAUAUAUACAGUGACCAGCAAUACCUUGUGGUUCAUGAAAAUUAUGUGAUUACAAUAUGAGUGAGUACACAGACUGUAGCAAAAUAUUACCCAUGGAAAAGAGUGAUUGCACUUGUGACAGCCUCUUUAUGUAUCUCUUUCCAUGGUAUGGUAACUCUUUCCAUGCCUUUGGCUAAUCUGUCACUAGGAGAAGUUUGCAGCUGUUGCAGCAUGUUUCUCAUUGCUAACUCAGAGACCCACUGUAUCUAAUCUGUCAUUAAAAUAGCAGUAAAUUGUAUCUACACAUUUUCUAAGAAUACAUACAAGUUUUAAGGGGCAAAUGAGCUGGUAAUAGAAACAUGAGGAUAUUUUCUAGGAUCGAGCUAGAUUUUGUAUUAAUCAGUAAUUAUUGUUUUGAUCUAGCAUUACAGUUCUUUCAUUUUGAAGCUUCAUAUUUUUUUAGGGCAUGUAAAUACUAAUCUUUUGAUGAAAAUAGUUAGCAUGCCAGCCAACACAUGUUAUGAGGAAUCCUCAGUAUUCAGGGCAAUGCAAUUCACUGAUUUUCCUAAAAAUAACCUUCAUAUACCAAAUUUGCUUCUUUAAUAUUGGUAUGCCUAGUUUUAUCCUAUGAAAAGUUGCAAGUCUAUAUUUGACAGGAGUCUAGGCCUACAGCCUGAUGAUGUUCAUUUUUGCAGUCACAGAAAUCUAGACAAGUCAUGGUCCUUUCCCCAAAAGCAAAUAUACUCUAAAAUACCCACAAAAGACUAAUUAUGGUAUAAAGAAUUAUAGGAAUGAGUGUUGUGAUGUGAAAUGUUAUAAGCAAAGUCAGAGACUGAAAGGUCAGUAAAACUUGUUGGGCAGAUGAAGAUAAUCCAAACAUUCAACUCCCAAGACAUUUUCACUCAAAUUUUGUUUAGUUCUGUUCUGAUUUUGAGUCUUUUGGAUACUGAAAUUAAGAACAAAAGUGAGGAACAUCUAAAGCGAGAAUGGGUUAAAGGCAAUAUUCAUUGAUACAGCUCUUUUGGAAAGAGGGAGACUGAUGAUACAUUGCCUUGCUAAUGUCCCUGUGAGGGGGGAGUCUUGCCUCUGGCUAUGCAGAAGGGGUCAUCUAAAUUUUUUGUGAUAGACAUACUGUACAAAUAAUGAGAAAUGAAAUCUUCUGCAAUCCCUUCAUCACACUUGCAGUGUGAUGCUCUAAUUUAUAUAUUUUUAUUGUGGAAUAGUUUGUCCUAAGGUAAGACUGUAUCUAGGAUCCACUGUAAAACAUCCUUUUAUCAUCUACAGAACCUGAACAUUGAUAGUAUUACUCUGAAAUAACGGGAAAUUAUUUCUACAAUAUUUAAAGAAAAAUGCAAAUAGAUUUCAGUUGCAUGUCAUUAAUUAAUAAUUAGUGAUUUUUGCAAAUAUUACUUCCAUGUGCGAACCCUACAAUUCACCUGUCUAGCCGAGAGGUUUUCUGCCUUUGUCCCAAAAGAUUCAACUUGUGAUUUAUUUUUCUUAUUCUUUUUUCCCCCUUGUCCUUUGCUGGCGUAUUCUUCAUGUCUGAAGAAUAAUUUUGUACCUCUGAUGGAAAAUAAAAAUGAGUUCUUAAGGCUGUUUGUUAAUGACUGGUUUUCUGCACUUCUCCAUGAAGUUCUGCUUUUCCAGCGUCCUGACACCAAAAUCAAAGAUGUUUCCACUCAUUUGCAGCUUCAUUCUGCCAGUCUCUUUGACAUUCACAGCUGUGCAAGAGCUCUUUGAAUAUCUAGUAGUCCUUUUAAAUUUUCUUGGAAAAUUGUCAGUUUCUACUACAUCAGGAAUUACCAUACAGAAAGAUGAUAUUCAUAUGCCAGUAUUGUGUGAGUCAUACUGGCAUGCUCUAAAACUAAUGCUUCUUCCUUGUCUCACCCUCCUUUGUAGUCUGUAGGGGCUUCUUUGUAUCAUUUCUGCAAGUCACAAUGAUACAUUACACCUCAGAGGGAAAGGGGUGUUCUGAAACCUCACAUAAUCUGCUACCUAAAUAGCUGCAGGCAGAACUCUUGCCUUUUUCCCUGGGUAUUUGGCACAGGCUUCAGAAACUCUGCAUCACUGCUUAGUUGUAGAAGUGAUAGGAGGGAGUGCAAAAGCACUCCCAAUUGUUCAAAAUGUAAUACCAAUUGUUCAAAAUGUAAUACCUUCAAUUCUCCAAAAUAACAUAGUUUUCUUGAGUUAUUUCCUUAUUCAUUAGGACUGAUUAUAGAAAAUAUCAAAACUCCUGCCCUGUCACAGCUCUGCUUUUCUGCCUUCUAAUAGGGAAGGAAAUGGGUAAUAAACAAUAUGAAGUGGAGAGUCAGCCAUACAGAUAAUUCCGAGUAUACACAGUGGGAGGAGUGAACAACUCUCAAACAAGUUGAAAUCAGAUUGUUUAGAUAUUAUUCCCUUGCAGAACAAAGUAAGCAUGGUUGUAAAUCUUACAUAUUUCUCAAUAAGAAUAAUGAAGGUAGUCCUAUCCUAUCUGAGAACCCUUCAGAAUGAAGGAAAAUUUAAGGCAGGAAUAAGUGGAAGAUUUAUGUCUACAACUAAAUUAAUAAAGAAGAUGACCAAGAUAGAAUUAAUUUACAUAAGAAUUUCAAAAUUGGCAAUUUUUUUUCAUGGCUUGGAGUUUACUACUCCUUCCACCUCAGUGAACACCAGGUCAGAUUUCAGGAAAGCCACUAUUGCUGUGGAGAACAGACUCCAAAGGACUUUCUGUGUUCUAUAAAAUGGACUCUGAGUUUUCUUCUACUGCAUUAUUAGUAUACACCAAUGAUUCCUUCUCAGAUCUUACAGUUCUGACUCUCAUUCAUUCCCUUCCAUAUCUGUAGUGAUAAAUGCCAUGCACCUCUGAAGUGCAGAUUCUGGAUAAAGCUACAAAAUAUCCAGUUUAUCAUAGCUUAUUCUUUUGAUGCAACCUGUAGGAUUGAAUUGGAGAGACUGAAGAGAAGUGUGUCUCCAGUUUAUGAAGAAUGAUAUGAUCUCAAGGAAAAAGUGGGUUGUGUCUAGCCAACAUGCAUCUACAAACACAGUAGUAAUAGAAGAUCUGAGCAUUUUAGUGGCAUUGUGUAUUUUAAGAGGUCCAAAACAGUUUGUCUCUUCAGAUUCAAGAACACCAGACGAUAUAUUACUGAUGCCAUCCAGAAGAACUUGUUUCUUCAUCCUGAAUUCCAUCUUUGUGGCUUAGGAACAUGUCCCUGCCAAAGGAUGACCAAAUGACUUUAUCUCUGCUCCUGCUGUCUCUAACUGAGGCAAAUACACUGCAAAGUCAGAUUAGUUCUUCUAGAAUCUGGAGAUCUCUCUAUCCUGCCUAUUUGUCAUCUUUUCAGAGUGACAUUGGAAAAUGCAAAUUUAUCAUCUUCAAGGCAUCAUUCCAGUUCCACUUGCUAAUAAUUAUUUUUCAUCAUCCUCGAAGUACAAAAAAAGGAAGAGGAGACUUUGUUCUAGAAUGCACCUUGGCAAAUUUGAAGCUUAUUACUUGGGAAGCUAAUUUCUUUUUGGAUGGUCAUUCAAGAAAUUGUCAGAGUCCUUUUUCUUUCUCUCAACCUUAAAGCACAUAAUUGAUACUGAACAUUCCUGAUAUUUGAAGGCAACGACCUCUUCAGAGCCUUUUGGUCUUUCCUUCAUUACUUGAGAUUUUAGAAUACCAGCAUCUAUCUGCAGUUAGCUACUUCAAUUCAUUAAUACUUAUCUUGUCUUGGGUCACAUGUUACUUAGAAGAUAAUGAGAAGAUGCAGGUAUGAAAAAACUGGACAGGUUCUUUAAGAAAGACAAGCUAAAUUGAAAAGCACAUCAGAUUCUUACCUAAAUUUCUAGCAUUCAUUUUUUCCUUUGACAGGAUACUUCUUUUCUGUGUACUGUGGAGUUCAAAAUGAUCCCCAGUACAGAGGAGUUGUAAGACCCUGUAACUUUCACCUGGACAUCUCCAUAAUGCUCAAGCAAGAAAACAUUUACUUAUUAAAGUGAUAGUAGUGGUUGUUCUUUUCAUCUUUGACCAAGAUGACUACAACUUUUAUUUGAGAAGCAACCAUAAUCUUGACUACUUCCUAGUGAAGCACACUUUGUGUGUUAUUUUCCUGGACAAUGAGAAAUCCUUCUCAUUGUUUAUCUAUUACAGUCUCUAAGGGAAAAGGCCUUGGGUCUUCCUUUUUCACAGUUCUAAUAAGAAUUGAGAAAAGAUGACAGAGAUUUUUCUGAAAUCCUCCAAAUCUGCUACCUUUCUUCUCUUUCUUAUCUGUAUUGGAGUGAUGGCAUGAUGGGUACUCAUACUGGAGAAAGUUAAAAUUAGAUUUCCUUAAAAUAAUUUUAUAUUCUCUGAAUGGGUACCCACUACUCUGUCAGCACCCAUUACUUUGGCUAAAAUUUCUCCAAGCACAGAAAAGUCUUUUCUUCAUGUGGAGAUCCUAAAUGAAUGAAAAGAGAAAGGAAAACGAUCAAAGGUUUCAAGUUGAUGACUGAUUCAUUGUUUUGAAAAAUUUUUUUUCUGCCUGGAUAUUGCUCUGCUGUUUUCUAACUUGUUUUUUAGUUGUCUUAUAUUCCCUCAGCUGUGGCAGUAUUCGUGGAGCCAAGUGUGAGUGUACUACCUCAAAAUACCAGCAGUGGAAGCUGGUAAGCAAGUGGGGAAAAAUCACCAGAGGAAUCUCUGAAGCUUGGGACAAAGGCAAAAAACACAUCAGUACUGCACUAACAGAGCAGCAGGUACCCUUAUAGAGAAGGUAACAUUACAGGUAAGGAAAUAAUUUACAUUUCUAUUUUAAUCUUAUCCACAUACCUUAUUACUCUCCACUCAAAAUCCCAGGAAAAAAUAUCCACAAAAAAUUUGAAGAAGUAUAAGAUCUCAGACAUGAUUAAUUUAGACUGCCUGAUUUUUUUAGUGGGGAUAAUGUGAAGUUCAAUCUUACCCAAUUUAUGGAAAAAUGUAUUAAAAUAUGAAAAUCCUUUAUACCUGUAAGGUAAUUUAAAACCUCAGUCUAGUUUUAAAACAAGGCUGGUUUUGUUUUUCUUUUUAUUUUGUUUUGCUUUUUCAUAUUUAGGAUAUAAACACAACUUGUUAUAAGUUUUCCUUUCCAAACCAAAACAAGUGUAGGCUUAUUUUUAGGUAAGUGAAGUCAGAUAAAGCCAAACCCAGACAGACUCUGUUCCCAUCCCUCCAUCUACUUUUACUUUCUUACAGUCAAAAGUGUAGCAUGACUCUUUAUUAUGCUUCAGUUUCCUCAAACGGAGAAAGGAAGGAGGUUGUUUUAUCUCCCACGUGGGAUGAUUAGGUGGAAUAAGUGUUAUAGAAGAGAAGUAAAUUUCAUUUAUUUAAUUAAUUGUCUUGCAGUCUUUUAUGCCGCCAUGCUGCAGUCCCUCUAUGGAGUUGCGAUCACUGCAAAAACCUCAAGAGGAUAUAUCCUUGUGUGAAUUGCUACAGUUAUUAUCUGUUACAGAAAGUAAAAUAAGGCAAACGUGUAAAACUCCUCAAGGCCGAAUGGAGAAGUAGAGAAAGGAGGUUUCUGCUGUGCCUGAUGACAAUAUUUGUUUUUUCCACACAAAAAAUAUUCUGGCUCCACGUUGGAGCACUAGUUGUGAUGAAUCCUAGUCUUGGUCGGAUUCUAAGGAAGGGCCAGAACGUUCGUUGAGGAAUAAAGAGUCCCACCACUCCAGAAAAUGUGUUCCAGCCCUCAUUUAUUACUCACAGAGCAGCAGGUAACCUGAUAGCUAAAGACAAAUCAAGUCAGUAUCAAGGCUGAUAAAAUUAAAUACAACACGUGGGAAUUUCAUUCCUCCAGGCAAUCCUUGAAGUGAAAUUUUAUACUGCUGGGGUGUAUUCUUCAGAAUCAAUUGUUUCAAUGAGAAUCUGUCUUCUAAUCAGCAACAGCCUUGAGAUCAAAACUACUGGAAAGUCAUUUUGAACUUCUGUGUCACAAAGAUUUCAACUGAUUGAACUGUGUGCACUUGUAAAAUUGCACUUGCUGAGGAAUUUGCAGCUGUAAUCAUGUGUUGAUACUCUAAAGGUGCAGAAAAGCAGCAAACUUGGAUUCUCCAUUGCAGACCAGUGGCUUUUCAUCUUGAUGAAGUCAACCUCCAGAAUGUUUUGGAUCCUUCCCUCUAAAAUGAUCCCUGGUCCACUUUCAGAUUGCUGGUGGUACUGCACAUUGCUUUAAUUAAAUUUCUGUUGCAGAAAUGAUCCUCUGGCAUGGCGCAGUUUUAGACAUUUUUAUUUGUGUUCUAAUCUUGCAGCUCUGAAAGAUACAUAUUUCAACAUCUUGAAGUUGCUUUUGUUAUAGGAAUGGAAUUAUAUAUCCAUUGUUAAUAAUUAUUGUUGACAAGUAAUAGUUAUCUGAAUACACCAGUCACAUUAGAUUGUAUAGUCAGGUUGACAUGUUUCCCUAAGGCUAAUCAGCCACUGCAGCUUAACAGUUAAAAAAGUAGUGGUCAAAACUCAAUUACCACCUCCAUUAUAAAGCAUUUUAUACCUCUAAGAUAUACAUUUCCAUUUAGUUUGAAGGAGAUGGGUGUUCCCAAUAUGUACUUUACUUUCCUAACCUUUAAUUGAUUUAAGUUCAUGGUAAGCAGUCAGUGAUGGUAUUUUAUCUUUUUUUUGUCAGGGUAGGCAGGGAUGUAAAUGAGUUUUGCAAUUAUGAAAUUGGGUGGUAAUCAUUCAGAAUUUUUGUCUUUUUAUUAAAAAAAUAAAAUCUCUUGCUUGAACCUAAGUACUGAUGGAUGCUUAUGUAGAUGUCUGCUCAGUCUGUUUGCUGUAAAGGAAAAAAGUCCUAGUGCCCACCCAGAUUUACACUUCAUGGGUAUUUUGCUUGCUUACAGUCAUCCAAUUCAGAUCUGAUCCUUUCCAAAAAUUUUUUUUUUUUUUUUGGUAGCAAUUUUUUUUAACUUUGUGAUGUGCUGUUACAUGAAAAAAAUCCUCAAUAUUUAAAGGCCUUAAGCAUCUCUGAGCUUUUUUCUAAGUUAUUACAGAAUGUAUAAUUUUAUACUCCAUUUAAUAUAUAUUGUACCAUCUGUAAUGUUGAUACAACAGAAAUUUGGUAGUUCCUUUUAGAAACACUGCAUAAAGAAGCUGACCAGAGAGGGUAAGGGAAUUCUGACUUUAUGCUUUGGUGAACUGACAUGAAAGCCACAUACACAAUGGUAGUAAAAAGUACGUAGGUGUAAGGUUAUGUGUGGUUACCAGACUCACAAAAAAAAACAACCAAAAAAACCCCACAAAACAAACAAACAAACAAAAAACCCCAAAAGACAAAAAAACCAAAACAAGACAGAAGAGGGAAAAUAUUUUAUCAUUACAAGCCAUUGACAUGGCUAGUUUAGUUAUAUAUUAGGUUCCAUGAUAGAUGAACACCCUGGAGUUCUCUGCCUGUCACAGUAGCCCCUGCUGUUCCAAAACCAUUUCAUUACCUCUGCUGUAUUAUUGCACAGGAGAGCUUAAAUAAAAUAAAUGGCUGUUGGGAAUAAAAUUGAGAAGUAUAUUCUAUCAUUCUGCUGAGAAGUAAUAAAAAAUUGUUGGCAGGAAAAGAUCUUAUUUUCUGAUUAAAAUUUAAUUAGAAUAAACUGUAGCAGCAACUAGGUAUCUCAGUAUUUUAGGAUGGAUUAGUAUUGUAUGGAUUUGUGCUAACAAGUUCAGGACAGAAGGUAGCAUCUUAAAGAGAUCAUCUGGGACAGUGCAAAAUAUAAAUGUGCUGUUUUGUAGACUCUGAAUAUGGCCUCUCUUUGGCCAAAAAUCUAUAUCAUGCUUCUAACUAUAUGUUUUCUUUGUUUCCUUGUUCUUAAACCAAUACUGAAAGUACUGUAUUAUAUAGAAGUGUAACACAUGCAUAUCAAUAAAUAAAAUAUAUGGAUUUUCAAAUAUAUUGAA